rnacentral:ncRNA from 1 species
AUAAAUUUUAGUAUUAAAUUUGAAUUAUUUUAAUAAUAAUUUACAUUUAUAAGUAGUAAUUAAUAUUAAUUAUUUAAGAAAUUAAGAUUUAGUAAUAUUUUAAUUAAUAACAAAUUUUGUGCCAGCAGUUGCGGUUAUACAAAAAUUAAAUUAAAUUUUAUUAGUGAUUAAUAAAUAAUAUUAUAAUAUAAAAGAAAAAUUAAAUUAUUAAGUGAAAUUUUAAUUUAUGAAAUUUUUAUAAAAAAUUAUGAUUUAAUAAAUUUUAUGAAAAACUAGGAUUAGAUACCCUAUUAUUAAAAUUUAAAAUUAAAAUACUAAAAUAGUAAAUAAUUAUUUAUUGAAACUUAAAUAAUUUGGCGGUAUUUUAGUUCAUUUAGAGGAAUCUGUUUAAUAAUUGAUAAUCCACGAAUAAAUUUACUUAAUUUAUUAUUUUGUAUAUCGUUGUUAAAAAAAUAUUUUUUAAUAAAAUUAAUAUUUAAAAAUUAUAAUAUAAAUUUAAAUCAGAUCAAGAUGCAGAAUAUAAUUAAGAAUAUAAUGGAUUACAAUAAAUUUAUUUAAAUGAAUAUUAAUUUGUAAUAAUUAAUUGAAAGUGGAUUUAAAUGUAAUUUUAUUUAAUUUAAUAAAAUGAUUUUUAAUUAAAAUAUGUACAUAUUGCCCGUCGCUUUCAUAUAAUAAUAAGUUGAAAUAAGUCGUAACAAAGUAGAGGUACUGGAAAGUGUUUCUAGAAAGAU